AAUCAAGUCCGGAGAUAGCUGGUUCUCCUCGAAAUCUAUUUAGGUAGAGCGUCAAUCGAAUACUCCGGGGGGUAGAGCACUGGAUGGGCUAUGGGGUCCCAACGACUUACUGAUCCUAACCAAACUCCGAAUACCCGGAAGUAAUAAUUGGCAGACACACUGCGGGUGCUAACGUCCGUAGUGGAGAGGGCAACAACCCUGACCUCCAGUUAAGGUCCCCAAGUCAUGGCUAAGUGGGAAAGGAUGUGAGAAUCCCAAAACAACCAGGAUGUUGGCUUAGAAG
rnacentral:rRNA from 1 species